UACGUAGGGGGCUAGCGUUGUCCGGAAUUAUUGGGCGUAAAGAGCUCGUAGGCGGUCUGUUGCGUCGGUUGUGAAAACCUGGGGCUCAACUGGGGAGGGUCACGCGAUACUGAUCGACUCGAAGGCAGGAGAGGGUAGUGGAAUUCCCGGUGUAGUGGUGAAAUGCGUAGAUAUCGGGAGGAACACCAGUGGCGAAGGCGGGUCUCUGGGCCGAUACUGACGCUGAGGAGCGAAAGCGUGGGGAGCGAACAGG
rnacentral:rRNA from 1 species